rnacentral:rRNA from 7 species
AAGUAAAAGUCGUAACAAGGUCUCCGUUGGUGAACCAGCGGAGGGAUCAUU